rnacentral:rRNA from 1 species
GACCGCUGGCGGCUGGCCUAACACAUGCCAAGUCGAGCGCGCCCUUCGGGGUGAGCGGCGGACGGGUUAGUAACGCGUGGGAAUAUACCCUUUGGUACGGAAUAGCCUCUGGAAACGGAGAGUAAUACCGUAUGAGCCCUUCGGGGGAAAGAUUUAUCGCCAAAGGAUUAGCCCGCGUUAGAUUAGUUAGUUGGUGGGGUAAUGGCCUACCAAGCCUACGAUCUAUAGCUGGUUUUAGAGGAUGAUCAGCAACACUGGGACUGAGACACGGCCCAGACUCCUACGGGAGGCAGCAGUGGGGAAUCUUGGACAAUGGGGGCAACCCUGAUCCAGCCAUGCCGCGUGAGUGAUGAAGGCCUUAGGGUCGUAAAGCUCUUUCGCCUGUGAAGAUAAUGACGGUAGCAGGUAAAGAAACCCCGGCUAACUCCGUGCCAGCAGCCGCGGUAAUACGGAGGGGGUUAGCGUUGUUCGGAAUUACUGGGCGUAAAGCGCACGUAGGCCGACUGGAAAGUUGGGGGUGAAAUCCCCGGGCUUAACCCGGAACUGCCUCCAAAA